UAAGGAAUAUUGGUCAAUGGACGCAAGUCUGAACCAGCCAUGCCGCGUGAAGGAUGAAGGCCCUCUGGGUUGUAAACUUCUUUUAUCUGGGAAGAAAUGCCUGUUUUUUAACGGGUUUGACGGUACCAGAGGAAUAAGCACCGGCUAACUCCGUGCCAGCAGCCGCGGUAAUACGGAGGGUGCAAGCGUUAUCCGGAUUCACUGGGUUUAAAGGUGCGUAGGUGGCUUGUAAGUCAGUGGUGAAAUCUCCGUGCUUAACAUGGAAACUGCCAUUGAUACUAUAGGUCUUGAAUUUUCGGGAGGUAAGCGGAAUAUGUCAUGUAGCGGUGAAAUGCUUAGAUAUGACAUAGAACACCAAUUGCGAAGGCAGCUUACUACAGGAAUAUUGACACUGAUGCACGAAAGCGUGGGGAUCAAACAGGAUUAGAUACCCUGGUAGUCCACGCCCUAAACGAUGGAUACUCGACAUUUGUGAUACACAAUAAGUGUCUGAGCGAAAGCA
rnacentral:rRNA from 1 species